GGAGAGGUAUGACUCAACUCGUGAAAGUUAAGGUUGUCAGACUGCUCUGUUUCACAUGUGGAUUUUGCCAACCUUGGACAUGCCCCAAGGUCUAAUCCCACACACCUCAGAGAGCUGGAUCUCUCCAAAAACUCAUCUCAGGUAGCCGCUGUCAGGGAGCUUUAACGUGCAAUCCAGGACCAAUUCUGUAAACUGGAGGAACUUAGGCUAGUUGGUGUCAGCUUGGUGAAGAGAGUUGUGAAUAUCUGGUACUGCGCUCCAAUUCUAAUCUGCAAACAUUGGACUUGAGCCUCAACAAACUGCAGGAUGCAGGUGUACAGCAACUUUCUAAAGGUUUAGAAGACACAUGUCAUUUGGAUACACUAAGGCUGUCACACUGCCAUAUAACAGAGAAGGGUUUCAGGGCUUUGGCGGCAGCACUGACAUCUAAUCCCUCCUACCUGAGAGAACUGGAUGUGAGCAGGAAUAAGCCUGGAG